AUUAACGAUGAUGAAAUAAUAUCACUUGGUACAGUAGGAUAUUGAAAUGAAACUAAAAGGAGAGCCUUGAAUAAGUAUAAAAAACAAAUGCAAUCAUUGCAGUGUACUAAUGGAGCUAUUGUUAAUGGCAUGCUUACCAUUUUAAGAGAUAUGCUACCAAACUUCAUGUAUAGUAGCAAAAAUAAAAAAAGCUAUAAAACCCGAACAUUUUUAACACUAUAAAAUAUAUGUUAAUCACGUGCUUUCAGUGUUAUAUGAAAAUGUUUUGGAUAAUGCUUGGUUAUGGACAGUUUACAAAAAAUUGUUAAUGUUCGAUAACUGGACUUUGACAAAGAAAUAUAUAAGUAAUGAUCAUUUCAACGAUCCACAACUAUUUAAUGACAUUUGAAAUUUUAUUGGUAUGUGUAUUAAUAAUGACUACUUACCAAGAACGAUUGAAAAGGAUCUAUCGAUUUAUUUAAGUAUCGAAAAUCAACACAUAUUUGUUAAAACAUUUAUUGAUGAACUAUAUAGUAAAAAUGAGUUAUCGCGGUUUUACCGUUAUGAUGAAUGAUUCAUUCCAGCGUAGAGGAAUUUAAAAAUGAAUCUAUUGUAAGUUAUGGUAAUGAUGAAUUGAUAAAAAAACCAUCAUGGUUUCUUAAUUACAGCUCUAAUGUUAUAAAGGUUGUCAAAAUAAAACUAUUGAGUUACACUUAUUUACAUUUGUUAAUCUAUCAAUCACUUAUAUCAGAAUCUUCGACCCCUUCCAAUAUGAAUUUUCUGGGAUUUAGUUAACCAGUUAUCAUACAUGAAUGAAUCUAAAUGAACAGAGAUUUUUGAUAAAUGGCUAAACUCUAUUAUUAACAACGCAUUGACAUUUGAUAUCAAUAUAAAGUUAAGUGAUGAUUUGUUACGCAUAAAAUUAUAUUCUUUAAAACAAAGAGCUAAAAUUAUGACUGAUUAUUCAAAUGCUUUAGAGGAUUUUUGCCGUGCACUAAUAAGUUGGAUACGACCUUUAAACUUUA